UACGAAGGGGGGCUAGCGUUGCUCGGAAUUACUGGGCGUAAAGCGCACGUAGGCGGCUUUCUAAGUCGGGGGUGAAAUCCUGGAGCUCAACUCCAGAACUGCCUUUGAUACUGAGGAUCUUGAGUUCGGGAGAGGUGAGUGGAACUGCGAGUGUAGAGGUGAAAUUCGUAGAUAUUCGCAAGAACACCAGUGGCGAAGGCGGCUCACUGGCCCGAUACUGACGCUGAGGCACGAAAGCGUGGGGAGCAAACAGGG
rnacentral:rRNA from 1 species